AGGUUUAUCACCACAAGCACUUUAAGGAUGUUUCCCCUACACUGAAUUCCUAAAGAUCCUUGGAUCGGGUCCUGAGGUUCAGCCCUUGACCUAAAAGAAUUUGGGAACCUACACUUGGGCAACCAAAAUGCUUUUUUUUGGUUUGAGCUUUUCAGACUUGAACUGUAGGAUCAUUUUGUGUUUACUGCUGCACACGAUCCUGAUCCUCAUCUCUGAAAGGACAGCUGCCAAACAGGGAAAGCUUCAGAGAACAGCAACAAAAAUGAUCAGGAGAUUAGAAUACCUUCCAGACGAGGAAUAAGUAAAUGAACUGAAGCAUUUCAGUUCAGCAUUUGAGCAAGGGGAAGAAGGAGGUGCCAGAGGUCUAUAAAUUGAUAAUACAAGAUAUUCUCUUCCAAUACAACAACGAAGUGGCCUGGAAUGAAACCAGUAAGUUGUAGGUUUUUUUUUUUCUUUGCACAUGAAUCUUUGGUGCAGGGUGAUGGGGAAGGUAAAAGUAAAAUAUAAACCAGGUCAAAUCUCAGAAAGAGAAAGCCAUUGUUACCUAUUAAACACAAAUACAGCAUUUUCUCUGUUUCAGAAGUCCUGAGCCACGUUUGCUGGUGACUGGGAGAGUAUUCUAAGGAAGUAUUAUGCAGGUUAUGCUGGGCACAUCAUUCCCUGCCCUUGAGGAUUCCUCAGGUUGUAAAGUGUGACUGCCACAAUAGAGCUGUCAUGAGUGAUAUAUUGGAGGAACAAGGUUGAAUUCAUGUUCAUCACAGAUUAAAAGAAGAUUGCACUGCAACUACUUUGCAGACAGAAGUUUCUUAGUCCCACAGUAAAAGCUACAAAAAGAGGAAUCAACCUUUCCUUCCUGGAGCAAGGAGACAAGCACAGUCCCAAGAGCUUCAACUCCUUUUAGCACAACUCCGAUGCUUUUUCUCACUGCCUGCACCCAGGAACACAACAGUGGGGAAAAUGUGAUUUCAGGCACUUGAAAUCUUCACCUUUGAGAAGCAGAGCAACAGGGCUGUGAGUGUGAUGGAGUUCUGUACGAGCUAAGUGUGAUCAGGAAACGCUUUGGCUCAGGAUGAGCAUCCUGCAGGAUGGGGACUUUGGCAGUGAACCCGCUCAGCCGAUGCCAAGGCUCAAGCACCAGCAACUGUGGAAAGGAUUUCUGGAGCUGAGGUACUGCCAUCUGUAAGGGGGACAGGUGAAAAGUUUGACUCUGGAGAAAUUUCAGAGUAUGUGAGAAAGAGGAAGAGACACGGAAACAAGAGGCAAAGAGAUGCAGGAGGGGAUGUGGCAACUUCCUCUGUGACAGCAGUGGAUGCAGAAGACACAGCUGGGGGCAGUUGAGGAAAAAAAAGGGUAGAGAUUGGCAGGAAUUAGGAAUGAACACGUGAAUGGAAGCCUUGAUGAAGUUAUGUUUACGACAGGAGUUAUUUUUAUUUCCAACCAGACAUGCCUGGUUCAUUACCUGGAUGUGCCUCUACCUUCUCCUAACUAUCUGCCUUUCUUUUCUUGGGAAUGGGGUGUGAUCAGAUGUUGACUAAAGUGGUCCUGAAGUACCUGCUUUUCACCACUUUCAUACUCAGUGCUUGCUGCUACCAAUCCUGCUAUGUUGUCCGGGACACCCUUCUUUUCCUCGAUCCCACUGUGAGCCUCCACACUCCCAUUUCAGCCCUAGUCUGAUUUCCAGGCCCUACUCUGAUGUUCCAUGCAUUUAUGGUCAACGGGAAAGUCCAAAGGGGUUUUUAGGAGUGCAUGACUUCUCUAUUCACCUGAGCAGAUGACACCAACAUGCUCGUCGUGCCCGCAGUUGUGUCUGCCCCAGCCGGCGUGCGGGCAGUCCCACAGGUGAGACUCCAUCCCCUUGCACCGCACGUCAUCCAGAUGGAUGCCUUUCCUACCGGGGCCAAAGUAGGACCCUCCCAAGACAGAGAGAGCUUCACCACACUUCAGCUGCCUGCACACGACGUUGGCGCCGUUCAUGUUGAAAUAAUCGUCGCAGACCACGCCCCAUUUACCACCGUGGAAAACUUCGACCCUGCCGGCGCAUCGGUGCCACCCGGCCGCCAGCUGCAGCUGUGGUGGCUGUGGACCUGAAGCAAAAUUCGACAGGGUACAUCCAGACACCCGGAUGAGGAGAUCCAGAUCACGGAGCUGCUCCGGACUGGCUGUAGAGACCUCCCCAAACACUCCCCGGGCACCUCUGUGGCCCUGUGCUGAUGAUGUGGUUGUUCCAGGAAGCUGUGAUUUGCUUUUGGAGAUUAGGCUGUUUGCCAGGUGCUGGCCAUGAUCAGUGCCCUGCCACAAGUGGAAGUCCAGGAUGUUCUGAAGUGAAAGGUAUUUUUGCAUGCUGAAGAACGAUUGGAGGAAAGGGCAAAUCCCAGAUGAAGUGAAUCACAUCUGUGAUAACAUAACCUGCAGGCAGGUUCCCCCUGUUUAGGGUUAAUUUACUGCAAAAGUGGAAACCUUCCCUCUGCAGCCACCUUCUUUGGACAAAACUGAGUAUUGGGUGGGUCUGGCUUUCCAGUCCCAGAGCAGAGCUGGCCUUGGGGUGAGGAUUCACCAUCCUGUCUCUGGAAGCCUCAGUCCACCCCUGGGAGGGAAAAAUCUUUGCCAGAGGUGCAGGUUAUGCCAAAGUCAAGGAGUAUUGGUGACCUUGGCUGCACCCAUGGUGGGACAGGCCAUUUCAUCCUGCUGCCCAGCUAAGGCUUCGUGUCAACACACCUUGCUUGCCUUGGCAGGUGCUGCAUUCUUGCAGCUCUUCCUGCUUUUUCCACUUCCAUGUGGACAAUGGUCUUAGUGGGAAGGUUUUCUCAGCUCCUAACAAAUCCCUUUGACCUCAGCAGGUACCACGGGCUGGGGUCACACAGAGUACCACCAGCACCAGUGACAUUCUCCAGCAGCCUUUAAACAUUUGUCAUUGCAAACCUUUUAGUGGCUUUUUAGUGCACUGGGGGGGUGCCAGGGAUGGAGGUGUCACCAGUACUGCCUUUACAUUGAAGUAGAUUUUGACAGUAAAAUCAGUGCAGUAAGACACGUGGACUGAAGUGCACAAGUCUGAUUCUUGUGAAGAAAAAAAUUCAUUUUUGAAAGAUACAUUUCUAUUUAGAGCUUUUUCUCUGGAGAAAUUGGGGAGACCAUAACAAAUGUUCAGGAUUUUAAUUCAGAGGCAUCUCUACAUAAGAUUAAUCACUGCAUUGUUGAUUAAAAAUUGCACAGAGAUAACACAUAAACCAGCACUUAAACGGGCAACCCCCAACCCAAUCAACUCCCAAAUUAAAGUUAAAAAAAAGCUCAAAUCACAGUAGAGGAGAGAGGAGAACCCUGAGCCAGUGCUUCCACUGAUUUGGAUUAAUUGACUCCUCCUGAUGCUCCUUCUCAUGAGGAAUGUUUAACUCAGGAAACAAAGCUGAUUAGAUAAAUUCACUAAUGUUUCUCUGGAGAAAACCCUGGGAGUUGUGGCAGCAUGAAACUCAAGGAUUUUUUUUAUUUUUUUUUUAAUGCAGUACUAGAGGGCUUCAGCAGGACCCUUGCAUGAUUCCUGCUGACUUUUUGACUUUGUAAUAGAUAAAAUUAGUUGGCAAAAAGCUUUCUUCAUUAUUCCUCAUUGAGAACUCCAGAGAGGCCAAACAGGCACAUGUGAAGGACACUUUACUCUUCUGUGAUAAAUUUCUGAAAGUGCAUCCAAGACUUCCAUCGGCUUGCAGUGUGAUUUGCUGAGCAGUGAGAGGGGCUGAGGGAGUCUGAUUUUCACUCUGUGGUCACUGAAGGGCCCUGGAGUUUCAUUAUGAAGUGGGAAGAGUCUCUUAGGCCUCUUUUGUGUGUGGGGUAAUUCUACCAACAGAUAAAAUGCUGUUUUAUGCAAUGCUUUUCAUUUUUUUAAGACUUGGGACUUUUAGCGACCUGAUCCACAGAACAAAUUUUUCACACACAGAAAGUCCCAUCCUUUCCAUAUGUUUCAAACCAGAUAUACACAUUUCAGUUUCAUUUAUUUAUUCUCUUUAAAGUUUAAAAAUCCAUGGUUAGCCUCAUGAAAACUAUGCAAAGCAAUAUUAGUGCUUUCAUUCUGAUCAAAACAAACUAUAUUUUAAGAAGGUUUCCAUAUGCAGAAACUACCAAAUAAACUCAAUAUGUAAAUCAGUAAUAAUUUAAAGAGGAAGUUCAUGCUAGGGAAAAUUAUUUCAAGACAGAAAUGUCUGAAUAAAUAUGAAAUUGAAAUUGCAAGUUAUUUCAGGUCCCACAGAAGCUGAGAGAGGAGGAAAUAGACAAAAUAUACGCCUUGGAAAUUACAGGUUUUGUAAAAUUAACUAUAUUUUUAGAACUGUUUCUUCACUGAGUGAUUGGACCCUGGAAGAGAUUCCCCAGGGCAGUGGUCACAGCACCAAGCCUGACAGAGCUCAGAGAGCACCUGGACUGUGCUCUUAGACGUAGGUGGUCCUGUGAGGAGCAGGGAGUUUGACUCAAUCCUUGUGAUUCUCCUCCAGCUCAAAAUAUCCUGUGAAUCUGUGAUAAUAAUUCACCUCUCUUUGCAAACCCUGUUUUGUUUCAGAAAAUGUCCAACAGCUGCAUAAUUGAGCUCUUAGCAGUGCAUGUGUUCUGAAGGAGACAAAAAUGAUGACAUGUGACAUGAUGAGCUGCCUUUCCUUGCUAACAACUCGGAAAAUCAACAGAAAACGGGACAACUUUGCAGCUUUCUUACCAGUAAAAAGAGUUGCCAGGGUUAAAUUUGGCUUGAUCUGCAAGUGUCACCCCAGCUGCCAGACUUCACUGCCCUUGGGAAGCAUCUCAUGUGAUGCCUGGAUGAAUCCUUGCGGUGUUGGCAGAGGGCACCCCGCUUGUCUUCCUCGACAAUGCGUUCCUUGCCGAAAUCCAGUGAACUUCUGGAACAAAGAAGGCUUGUUUCCCACUGGCAAGGCUCAGAUCAAGUGUUUACUCUACAUGCUGAGAGUGCAGCUCUCCAAUGAACGCUGCCCCUGCCCAAGAGCUUGAAAAGAAGCUGAAGCAACAGGUUUUGGCCACCCUUCUGCAACUGGGGCUACACAGGUGGCUUUCUGAGCCUGCAACAAGGGAUGGAAGGAUCCAGCAUUUUGGAAAGAAGGCCUGGCUUUGCCACAGGGAAUCAUUUAGGUUGGAAAAGCUCUCUAAGACCAUCAAGUACAACUGUUUAUCCAGCCCUGCCAAGGCCACCACUAACCCAUGUCCCCAGGUGCCACAUCUACACGGCUUUUAAAUCCCUCCAGGGAUGGGGACUCCUACCACUGCCCUGGGCAGUUUGUUCCAGCUUGACCAUCCCUUUCUGUGAAGAAAUUUUCCGUGAUAUCCACUCUAAAACUCCCCUGGCACAACCUGAGGCUUCUUCCUCUUGUCCUGUUGCUCAUUACUCAGGAGAAGAGACUCCAUCUGGUUGCAACCUCCUUUCAGGUUGUUGUAUGAAGUCAUGGUCCCUCACACCUCCCUUCGUGGGAGAACAGAGCCCUCAUAUCAACACAACUCAGUGUUCAUCAUAUCUCGUGGAACAAAGCCCUGCUUGAAUCCAGGAUUAAAAGUGGAAGAUGGUGACAACUAAAGCCAAAUGUUUCAGAAACACCUCAGUAUGGAUCACCAGGAGGAAAGAGAGAACUCAUCUCUUUCAAACUAUAGUUCCUGAGAACAGGGAAAAAAAACUAAGAAAAGAGGUGGCAGUCAUUCAGAGUUUAGAACAGCAACAGUACAAUUAAUUUCUACAUUACACCCUCUGACUAAUCCACUUAUUUGAGAAAGAAGAAGAAAAAAAUUCUGCUUGGAUGGGUACCCAGUAAUUGAGAGCAAAAGAGGUGAUCCAAGUGUUGUUCUAGGAAAGGAAAACAAAUCUCGCUCCCAGUGACGCAGAUGGGUCACUGACGAGUUUCCUCAGCCAGGAGGGAUCUCAUUAAAAUAGACUUUUUGUGUCGUGGUUCUUGAGUCUGAGAGAGAAAAUCUGAGGUACACAAGUGCUAUAAGAAUUUUAAUGUCUCCUUCAUUUUUCACAUUUAAAUAAAACCAGAU